rnacentral:tRNA from 1 species
AGAGAUAUAGUGUAGUGGUUAUCACGUCUGCUUUACACGCAGAAGGUCCCGGGUUCGAACCCCGGUAUCUCUA